rnacentral:lncRNA from 1 species
CCAAAGCAAGAACAAAGGAAGAAAAGAAAGAACAAAAACCCUAGAAUGAAAAUUCAAGAGAAAAUUUGUGGAUUUCAAGUAAUCAUGCAAUCAAAGGUAAAAUUUAUUGAUUUUAACUUGUUAUCUACCUUUCCCAUACAUUCUUUUGCAUUUUCCAUGGUUGAAUCACAUGAUUUCAUGAUGGGUCUCUUGUUGGCCAAACACUUAGAGAAAGCUUUUGAUGGUUGUUUUAGUUAGAUUUUAAGAUAUUCUAGUGUUUUUAGUUGAUUGAUGAUGUGUAACAUGAAAAUCUAGUAAGAAAAAUUCAUGUUCUCCCAUCACCCAUCAUUGGCUGAAUUUUCCAUGUAGAGUGUGGAUGAUGAUUUUGAUUUUAUUUCAAGUGAAUUGGUUAGGAAAUGAUGAAUUACAGUGAGAAAAUCAAGUAGGAAAAAUCAUAGUGUUAAUGCACUCACCAUGGCCGAAAUUCUCAAGAAGAAAUGUGAGGAUGGUUUUGCUAAAUUUUAUGUUAUUUGACUUGUGUUUGGUGAUUUUAAGUAUUGGGAGAGAAAUGGAAUUAUUUGGAGUUGAAUUGGACAUAUUGGCCAAUUAAUCGAGUGAUAGAUCGAAUUAGGCCAAUACCGUUUUAUUUAGGUACACAAUGAAUUUGUGUAGAACACCGUGUUUAGACGAUAAUCAGAACAAUUUGCAUUCCAUUUCAUGCAUUAGUAUAGAGCCUGAAUUGGUUUUAUAACAAUUUAGCACAAAUGUAGUAAAUGGCUUAUUGUGCAUUAUGUCUAUGUGGUGAGCAUUCUGGCAAAAGUAAAGAGAUAGUACCCGAGGAUCAAGAAUCAAAGUACUCGGAAUUUGACUCCCGAAAUAAUGAGUAACCUUAUCUUCAUCUUGCUUAUCUGAAGUGAAUUUUAAUUCGUUUUUCUGAUUUUUUCAAAAAUGAGUUUAAAUGGUAAAUCUUUAUGUUUUAUAAGCAAAAUGUGAUUAAAUGAAAUGAUUUUAUAAAAUUGUCUUGAAAUUGAAUGAUGGUUUUGAAAAUGGAGUAAUUGGAGACUAAUUGUUGUGUUAUAAAUCAUGGUUUGAAUUGAAUGGCUUAUGAUAAUAUUGGCAUGAAUGGUUGGAUUUGGUAAAUGUGCUGAAAAAGUAUGAACUGUUGAUUUGCCUUGAGAGGUUGUAAAAUAAAAUAAUUGCCAUGUCAUGCUGUUGAAUUUUAUUGAAUUGGUGGGUUAUAAAUUGGUCACUGCAGUGGAUGGGUUCUGUGGACCAGCCUAUUAGAAGGGCACGAUAACCCUAUUAUAUUCUUAUCUCAAUAUGAGAGGUGCGGAUGGAUAACUCCUAAGGUUAACACUUUAGAGUUCACUUCACGCUAAACCACCACGUGAAAGUCAACUCAGCCAACGCUAAGGAACGGCUAUAUUUUCAAAAUAAAAACAUGAUUUAUGCGUACAUAACUUUUUAACAGCCUUGGCGAACUCGAUUAGGAUAGCCCUCGGCCAAGGUAUCCCUGAUAAUUGAGUAUGAGAAUGAUUUUGGCAGGAGCCAAAAUUUUCAGGAAAUCAUAAGCCUUGUUGUUUAUUUGGGCGAAAUGAAUCUAUUUUAUCUUAUUAAAAUGAGUUCGAAAUGCUGAGAAUCAUUUUUAUGCUAAUCUAUUUUAUCUGCCUCCAUUUACUCGGCAUUAGAUAUUUUAGAUGAUAUUUGUUUACUCAUUGGGAUUAUAUAAUCUCACCACCCUCCUUUCCAUCCAUUUCAGGCUCAGGAUAGUCGGUAGAUAGCUCACUUUGUUGAGGGCUACAGUUGGACUUGCAUCCUCAAAAACUGUAGGUUUACCGCUUUUAAUACUUUUGGUCAUUCGUGGGCCCACAUGUCACUGUAAAUUAAAUCUUAUGCUUUGGUUAUCUGUAUUACAGUAUGUAUGAAUUUAUUUAGCUUUUAUGCUACAAAAAUUA